CUGAAGACCAUUUCUUCCUGGGGAGGAGGCAGGAAGGAGAAAUGGCAGCCAUGGCUCCCUAGACUCAAGGAAGAGACGAGGACCACGGCAAAUUGCAGAGAAUCCAUACAUGUAAGGACCGUGCACUAACUGAUUGUGCCAGUGGAGCUCCAUGGAACCCAUACAUAAAGCACACCUCUUCUCUUCUCCUUGGCAUCCAACCUGCUGGCUCUACAACUACUUUCAACAAUGAGUCAAGGCUGUACCUGGCAAGAUGGAAAUUCAAAAUCAACAACGAAAGCUAUUUAUUUUGGUUUUGAUCCUAGCCCUGGGCCUUUUACUAAGUAUUCAGAACUGAUUUAAUGAAUGAAAAAAUGAAUGAAUGGUAUACAUUUCCAUUGUCUAUUCUGCUUCUUUUCCCUAGGGAACUGUGUUAGGCCAUGAUUUCCUUGCUGUUUUUUUCAUAUGGUUGUUUUAUUUGCACAACGCUAAAUUAAAUCAACUAGUUCCAUUCAUGUAUUUCUCUCUUGUUUUAUAACCACCUGAUUUCUUAUUUUUAUUUAAACAGAAAUUAAAUAGUAAAAACUUUGGAGUAUUUAAUUUUACUUAAUUAAAAAUUGUUUUAAAAAAUAAACGUUUACCUGAAAUGA